rnacentral:tRNA from 1 species
GUAUAGCUCAGUGGUAGAGCAUGUGCUUAGCAUGCAGGAAGUCCUGGGUUCACUUCCCCAGUAC